rnacentral:rRNA from 1 species
GUAGGGGGCAAACGUUUGCUCGGAAUUACUGGGCGUAAAGGGUGUGUAGGUGGCUGAGCAAGUCUUAGAUGAAAUCCCGAGGCCUACCCUCGGAACUGUCUUCGAUACUGCUCAGCUUGAGGAUGGUUGAGGAGAACGGAAUUCCCGGUGGAGCGGUGAAAUGCGUAGAUAUCGGGAGGAACACCAGAGGCGAAGGCGGUUCUCUGGGCCAUUCCUGACACUGAAACACGAAAGCUAGGGGAGCAAACGGGAUUAGAUACCCCGGGUAGUCCUAGCCGUAAACGAUGGGCACUAGAUGUUUCCGCUUUUAUGUGGGAGUGUCGUAGCUAACGCGUUAAGUGCCCCGCCUGGGGAGUACGGUCGCAAGGCUG